CAGUCCAGCCAGGAGACAUUGCCCGUCAGGACUAGCGCUCCAGUCCUCAGAGAGGCUGCAAGCGAAUCACUUUGCGGGCACAGGAAUGAAAAGGAGGCAGGAAAAAAAAUCAUCCUCGGCAGCAGUUUAAGUCCAGCAGGUCGACAAAAAGUCGUCAAGAGUCUGAGGAAGAGGGUGUGAAUCCCUUAAGGCUGCUGUUGUCAUUGAACUCUCCGUGGUGUGAAACCACAGCCUGAGGUGCCGAGAUCCUACCAAGAGCAGCUGAGGCUGAGGAACCAAUUCUCUUGUGCCAGCUUUUUUAUUGGAGUGAGUGGCUGGAGAUGGAAACAUCUUCAACCAGUACAGCAAGCUUCACCACAGCCCGUCUGUCAGAGCCCUAAGCCCUGUCUGCUUGUGAGUUACUUAGCCAUAAAGGCCCAAAUACUCUCUGCCAUCCUAGUUAGGUUUCUUCUGUCACACAUAAUUGUAGCUCAAAGGUCCUGAAUAAUUGCAUUCCUAUUGGGGCUGGUCCAGCCCCCAAUAAUAAUCCUAAUAACAUUACUCUUAGCCAGCCACAUGAAUCCCUUCCAAUCCCAGUGUAGGCUCAGUCAUGCUGUAAUACAGUCGAGGAGGCCAUUCACUGUGGGGCUAAUUUAGUUUAAAAUGCAGCCAGCCCAUUUAUGGCACAGUUUUUUGUUUGUGCUCUAAAUUCUUAUGCACAAUCAACAGCCUGUAAACCUGGUCAAAGGAACACAUUGGGUGCUGCCCAUUAAUGCAGGCAUUUGGGGCUUACAGCCCUUAGGAGCCCCGUUUGUGCUGUGCUCCCUCACAAGUGGGAUAUCUCCCCUAUUUAGUCAAUGGGCUCUGUUGUAGGGGAAAAACAUAGAAACUCUUUUCCUGCACUGCAAAUCAAUUCCCUGUGAUCCCAGGGUGACUUUGACCUCACACUCACCGAGCAGCUUUUGUGACCAGCACUGCCGGACUCACAAAAUAAAGGAGCACCACUUUUUCUCUGUGAGGGGAGAGCAGAAAAUUCAGGCUCUUUCCAGUCUGGACCUCAGACACACUGGGAGAUAAAGGCAUGUAGAAAAGCGAAUGAUAGUCUCUUUGGAUAAAGUUGCCAGAAAAGGCAAUUCCGCAAUCCUCCAGUACCUAAAGGAGGAGAGGCUCCUCAGCCGGUGCAGUCGGAGGGCUUCACUCCCGCUCCGGAGAGAGCAGCGUUCAGGGAGCAGCUCAUCAGCCCAAGGCUGAUUUCACUUGCAAACGCACUGGGGCUUCGCAAUCGCCCACACUAGCGCGGUGCGAACAGGCUGCGUGGCUGCUGGCUGCUGGUAACUCUGUGCCUCUCCCAAGGGUGUCCUGGGGAGAGAUGGGAUGUGUCCCGGUGUGUGUGGGGGGGUCUGAUUCCCGUGGGAGGCUGGCGCGUCUCGUCGUCCUUCUUGCACGGCACUUGCAAGCAUGGCCUCAAAUUUGUUCUGGACAAAGUUCCCAGAUGACUUUGGAAAACUGCCAUUGUACCAGUGUAGUAAUACCACGCUUCAGAGAAUAAAAGGUUUGUUUGUCUAGGGUCCAAGUGUUUGUGUUCCUGGGUGUGAAGAUGAUGAUCUAAACCUCUGUCUGGUCAUUUUGUCCCUAUGAGCUGAAUCUGGCUUGGUGGUGCCUGCAGUUGCUGGAAUGGACACCAAGGUGAAAAUCCCAGGACAGCUGUAAUGUGGGUGCUCGUCAACCAUAACCUCCAACCCUCGUUUCCCUUUGACAGAGGGAGGAGGCUGGUGCAAGAACUGUUUCAUCAGCCCUGACUGCAAUGAGAUUGUCCAUGUAGCGGGUUGGUGCUCCUGCAAUGGCUAUGUGGAACGAUUACACCAGAUUAUCCAGUGCACGGUCUGCUCUUUCACUCAUCUCCAGAAGUUUUGCUCCAUAGUUCUCAGGCAGGCAGGACAUUUUGGUAUGAAGCACCACAUAAACCCAUCUGAGCCAAGCAAACUAUAACCAUAGCAUCAGCUGCCAUGGGGGAAAA